GUGGGGAAUCUUGCGCAAUGGGCGAAAGCCUGACGCAGCGACGCCGCGUGCGGGAAGAAGGCCUUAGGGUUGUAAACCGCUUUCAGGAGGGACGAAGCCACUCGGGUGAACAGCCCAGAGGGUGACGGUACCUCCAGAAGAAGCCCCGGCUAACUACGUGCCAGCAGCCGCGGUAAUACGUAGGGGGCAAGCGUUGUCCGGAUUCAUUGGGCGUAAAGAGCGUGUAGGCGGCCAGGUAGGUCGGUUGUGAAAACUGGAGGCUCAACCUUCAGACGUCGACCGAAACCCCCUGGCUAGAGUCCGGGAGAGGAGAGUGGAAUUCCUGGUGUAGCGGUGGAAUGCGCAGAUAUCAGGAAGAACACCCGUGGCGAAAGCGGCUCUCUGGAACGGUACUGACGCUGAGACGCGAAAGCGUGGGGAGCGAACAGGAUUAGAAACCCCGGUAGUCC
rnacentral:rRNA from 1 species